rnacentral:misc_RNA from 1 species
AAGAAGCAACGAAAGUGAGAAGCACGCCCGUGUACGCGUCGAGGAAGCGGAAAGGACAGGGCGCCGGCGUUCACGUCACUGCGGAGGUCGGAGGCAGCGUGAACAAGACGCCGACGGCUGCCGUCUUUGCUUCCCCUUGGUUUGCGCUGCAGUUUCUGUGUAUGUGGAGGGGAGCACACUGCACCUCCCCCCCCCACCUCCCUCACAGCACACACACAUGCACACACACACACACACAUACACUUAGCUUCCUCUGCUCACUGUGCUGUGGCUGUUGUGGUUGUUGUGGCUCCUGCUGUGGGGCGGAGGAGUACACGUAGAAGGCGCACGAAUCUUAGCGGUUCUGGCCUGCCUCCCCCCACCCCACACACACACACUUGCACCGCCGUAUUACACUCUCGCACCCAAUCGCAAAGUCUCACUCGGCUACGCACUCUUCCUGCUUCACUCUAAUCUCACCUGAAACAUACACACAAGGAAAUCAAAACAGCUGCACUCGUGGUCUUUUCUCUCUCCCUCUCACCCUUGAAUUUCGUGGCCGCGUGCUCGCGCGUUGUGCGCCUCACUCUCCCUUCCCUAAUACACCCACGCACGGAAAGAGCGUCGUCGUCGUUGCCGCUGCCGCCUCUUUUAGAAGCGCCCCUGUCUGUGCCUGUGUGUGUCCGUGUUGCUCUCGACUCCGCUUCUUCGGUCUUUCUAUUUGCAUAAUGUUUCAAUAUGAAGACCUCGUGUGGCUCAUCAGCUUCCCGCUGGCGUGCGCCAUCAUGCUGUGGUUCUCGCUUGAUUUAGCCGUUCUGGUGCGAGUCGGCGGUGGCCGGCGAAGACGUGCCAACGCGCGUCGCGCGAUCGAAAGGCUUAUCACGAGCAGUCCGGUCUUGACGACUGCGUCCGUGGUACAGUCACCGUCGCCCGUCUCUACCCCCGAAACCGAUCGCCCCUCUCGGCGACGUAGCAGCAGUGCCUCGCCAGAGCACGCGUGCAUGGACGGACUCGGUAGCAGCAGCGGCAACGAGGAGGGGCAUGGGGUGAAGCACCGCGCGGCAUCGGCAGGAGCUGCCGGCACCCCAACAGCAGGAACAAUCCCAUGCCACCAACAGCGUGUGCGGCAGGUGGUUGUCCCCGCGGCGUUCCGCAUCGCUACACGGGCUGUGGUGCGCCGUGCCGUUGUUCUCGUCGGCGGCGACUUUGCGCGAUCACCGCGGAUGCAGUACCACGCGGCGAGUCUGGCGCGCAGCGGUCUCUUCGACGAGGUGCUGCUGGUCGGGCUUGAUUACGGAAAUCAGCUUAGCGAGGACCUUCUCAUGAGUGGGGAGCCGCAACCGGAGCGCUUCGUCAGCUGGGAUGGCCCGGCAACGCCGAAAGGGAUGGAGCACGCAGUGUUCGACGUGCAAGCUCGACUCGAAUCGCCAGAGCCUCGACCAGGUUGUGGCUGCAUUGUGUCAACGCAGUACUUGAUAGCACCCCCGUCGCCUCCUGAGUGGUUGCAGACGGUGUUCCCCUUGAUCCACUUGCACUGGGUUGUGUGCACACUCUACCGCGUCGUGACGCUCACCGGUCUCUUUUUCUUUCAAACCAUGUGCGCCACAGCCACCCGAAUCAACGAGCAUGGACAACUCCUAGUCACGGACCUCAUCCUCAUCCAGACGCCGCCGGCGGUCCCCUUCGUCCUCCUCGUGAAGUAUCUCGUGUGCCCCUUGGCGUUCGUGUACAACAUGCUUCUCUACUACGGCGUGGUGGUGCCGGCCGCCUGGAUGAACCCCAGUGCGAUGCGGGACGUCCGGCAGCAAUGUAAGUUGCAGUCGCUACGCUUCACCGACGCCAUGGAGCGCUCAGACGACGGUCGACGACGCCCCUUAGCGAUCUUGCACGGACUCGCGCAUGCCUCGCUUUCGGGGAAGCGCAGGUGGGUAUUCUACCCCGCCAUCGUGGUGGACUGGCACAACUUUGGCCACACAAUCCUGGCGCAGAACCAGCGGCCCACCGCGGCGGUAAAGGUGUACAAACUGCUUGAGAUGCACAUGUGCGCCGGCCAUGUCAAUGUGACAGUGAGUCAGGCGAUGCGCCGCGCUCUGGAGCAUGCCUACCCGUGGCUGAGGUCUGAGUCUGCCAUCACAACGGCUGCAGCUGUGCAGCCCCACUGUAGCGCCUCGGCAGCUGCCUCCGCAAGCUUGCAGUCCGAGGGUGCACCGUCAGUAGCAGCGGUGUCGCCGAGCGCAGUGACAGUGCUGUACGACGUGGCGCCCUCUUUUUUCCGUCCUGUGCAGCGCAGCCGGUGUGUGCGGGAUGUCUUGGAGCGCCUGCUGCUGCGGCACCGCGCCGUCAACCCGUCUCCCCCUCUCGCAUCCGCUUUUCCUCUCGCGAAGGACGCCGGCAACGGCGCCGCGUACGCCCUUGUAAGCAAGGCGGACCUAGAAGAGAUGGGGUGGGGCAUCGCGGGGCCGCCAGCGUGGGUGUACGCGGACGCCGCGGCAGAGUCGGUAGCCGCCUCCGCCCUCGCCACCCCGGCAGCCGCGCCAGCGACGAUGGCGGCGGUUUCACGGCGAGGCAUCAUGGUUGUCGGGUCGACGAGCUGGACAGAGGACGACGACUACUCGAUGCUCAUUCAAGCCCUCCAGCGGCUGGACCACCGCCUUCGGCACGAAGUCAGCUACGGCAGUAGCAACGGGGAAGGUAGCCUUAGCGCCAGCAGCGGACCUGCGGACCUCUGGGUGCUGAUCACCGGGAAAGGAGAUGCCCGGCAGCGUUUCGAGGAUGCCGUGCGCGUCGCCAAGCUGUCGUCGCACGUGGUGGUGAGCACUUACUACGCGCAGUCCUAUCAGGAGUACAGCCUCCUGCUCGGCGCCGCCGACGUCGGCCUCUGCCUGCACUUUUCCUCCAGUGGGCUGGACCUGCCCAUGAAGGGAGUGGACAUGUUAGGUGCAGGGCUUCCAAUCAUGGUCAUGCAGUACCCUGCCAUUGGCGAGCUCAUUGGCGGCGUAACGCGGGUGCUGGCGACGCAGGCGAUGCGGCUGCGAAACGGUGCGGCGGGUGCUCAGGGAUCCCCACGGGUCAGCGGCGGCUACGCGAAGGCAGUACAACCGACCCUGCACGAAUGCGAGCGAGGAUGGUCGUUUUGCAACGACGCCGAUCUUGAGUUCUUGCUAUCCAGCUUUAUCGGCUUGCCCUCCACCAGUGAGAGCGUCGGCGACGGCGCCAGUAGCCUGUCGCGGUCGCCGCCGACGCCGCUGUCGGUGAUGAAGCGGCGAGCCUACGAGGCGCGACUGCGCGCUCAAACGUGGGAGGAGAACUGGAGGCGAGUGCUCCUGCCAGUGCUUAAGCAAGUGGUAUAGCGGUGUCUUGACCCAUAUGCACACGCGGGGGAGAUCGACAGGGCAAGUGACGCUUCGUGUAAAGAGAUGGAGCUAAGGGCACUAGGUGGACUACCACAGUGGUGCGGGUGGCAGUUGCGCGCAGGUGUGUGACACGGCAGCCCUCCCCCUCUCCCACCCAACCUCUCCCCUUCCCCCUGAUUGUAGGUGUGUAUCGCUUCUCUUGUCCACUUAGAUCGAUGCGAAUCUCUUGGUCGCUUAACGCCAGUGCGAGUUGACGGGUUUCGUCUUGGUUUCUCUUCUUGCAGCAAGAGUGGCGUGCAUGUGUGUAUGCGUAUGUGUAUGUGUAUGUGUAUGUGUGAAGGGAGGGUUUCUCUUUUCUUUCUCUCUCUGGCCUUCAGCCUUCCGUCUCCGCUCGUCCCUCGGGUACCGCCGUGCGCGGCUCCACCUCCCCACCACACCACCGCGAGCUAACACCCCUUUCCCAUCGACAACAACCCAUCUGUGCCCCGGCUCCUUUACUUGGUCUCCGUCUUUCUCUGUGUGUGUGUGUGUGUGGGUGUGUGUCCACACGUAUAUAUAUGCAUGUACAUGUAUGCACCUAAACGCACCUCUAGGCACACACACGCACAGAGAAAGAGAGACCAGCGGACGGAAGCGUCGACCUGUGUAUGCACAAGCACGUCGAUAG